rnacentral:rRNA from 1 species
AUACGAAGGGGGCUAGCGUUGUUCGGAUUUACUGGGCGUAAAGCGCACGUAGGCGGAUUGAUUAGUUAGGGGUGAAAUCCCGAGGCUCAACCUCGGAACUGCCUUUAAUACUGUCAAUCUCGAGACCGGAAGAGGUGAGUGGAACUCCUAGUGUAGAGGUGGAAUUCGUAGAUAUUAGGAAGAACACCAGUGGCGAAGGCGGCUCACUGGUCCGGUACUGACGCUGAGGUGCGAAAGCGUGGGGAGCGAACAGGAUUAGAAACCCUAGUAGUCC